AUGUCGGCGGCGCCCCCGCCGCCCCCGGAAUCGGCCGCUACCGGCGGCGGCGGCGGCGGCAGCGACAGCGACAAGGUCCUCGCCGCCGCGCAGCACAUCGUCAAGUCCCUGGCCACCUCCAAGAACGCCGCCGACGACAUGAUCCGCAUCCUCUCCGGCUUCGACAACCGCCUCUCCUCCAUCACCGCCGACCUGUUCCCCUCCGCCGACCUCUCCUCCUCCGCGGAGCCGCCCGAGAUCUCCAUCUCCUCCGCGGCCGCCUUCGACGCCGCCGAGCAGCUCAUCCUGCUCUGGGACGCCACCCCCGAGGCCCUCGUCUUCGAGGCCCACGAGGAGGACAUCGCGCAGUACCUCACCGCCGUCGACGUCGCCGUCGAGCACCUCGCGCGCGGCGGCGCGGGCGCCGGCCGCGCCGGCGUCGCCGUGCAGCUCGCCAUGGCCCGCCUCGAGGAGGAGCUCCGCCACCACAUGGUCCGCCACGCCGUGCCGCUGGACCCCACGGGCCUCUGCUUCUCGCUCCGCCGCCUCUCCCUCGGAUCCUUCGACGACCUCGACUUCGACGCCGCCACGCCGCACAGCGUGGACGCCACGCCGGAGACCGCGCGCGGCGGGCCCCUGGUGAGCCCGUUCGACGACCACGCGUUCGACCCCGUGCGCCCCGAGGCCGUGGACGACCUGCGGGCCAUCGCCGACCGGAUGGCGCGUGCGGGGUACGCGCGCGAGCUAGCCGACGCCUACUGCAACAUCCGGCGCGACCUGCUCGACGAAUACCUCUCCGUGCUGGGCGUGGAGCGCCUCAGCAUCGACGAGGUGCAGCGCGUGGAGUGGAAGCAGCUCAACGACAAGAUGAAGAAGUGGGUGCAGGGGGUGAAGACGGUCGUGCGCGUGCUGCUUGCUGGUGAGCGUCGCCUCUGCGACCAGGUGCUCGCUGUGUCCGACGAGCUCAGGGAGGAGUGCUUCGUCGAGUCCACCAAAGGAUGCAUCAUGCAGAUUCUGAAUUUCGGGGACGCCGUGGCUGUGUGCCCCCGCUCGCCCGAGAAGCUCUCACGGAUUCUUGAUAUGUAUGAGGCACUUGCUGAGGUAAUCCCUGAAAUGAAGGAUUGGUGCCUCGGAAGUUCCGGUGACGGUGUAAUCAGUGAUGUUCAAGCAAUUCUUGAUAGGCUUGGGGAGGCCGUGAGGGGUACCCUUUUUGAGUUUGGGAAAGUUCUGCAGCAGGAGUCGUCGCGGAGGGCAAUGACGGCUGGUGAGAUCCACCCAAUGACGCGGUAUGUCAUGAACUAUUUGAGGUUGUUGGUCGUUUAUAGUGAGACACUUGAUGGCCUCUUGGAUGUUGAUGGCGAUGAGAGCAAUGCUUUGGAAAGACCUGAGGAUAAGGAUCAGGAUACGGAACACUUAGAGGGUAUGACCCCUCUUGGAAGGCGUCUUUUGAAGCUGAUGUGUUAUCUGGAGGCCAAUUUGGAGGACAAGUCUAAGCUUUAUGAAGAUGCUGCCCUAGAGUGCAUAUUUUCCAUGAACAAUUUGCUCUACAUUGUUCAGAAGGUGAAGGAUUCCGAGCUUGGGAAGAUUUUAGGCGAUCACUGGGUAAGAAGGCGCAGCGGGAAGAUUCGGCAGUACUCAAAGAGCUACCUAAGGAUUUCUUGGAUGAAGACUUUGUCUUAUCUGAGGGACGAUGUACAUGGGAGUGGGGGUGGGAGCGGCAGUGGUAGUGGCAGUGGACAUUCAGGUUCUAGGAUGUCCAUCAAGGAGAAGUUCAAGAACUUCAACUUGUCCUUUGAGGAAAUUUACAGGAACCAGACACUCUGGAAGGUUCCAGAUCCUCAGCUCCGAGAAGAGCUGAAGAUAUCUAUAUCUGAGAAUGUGAUUCCGGCAUAUCGUGCUUUUUUGGGAAGAUAUGGUAGUCAAGUGGAUGGGGGAAGAAACUCGGGAAAGUAUAUAAAGUACACCCCAGAGGACCUGGAGGGUCAAUUGUCUGAUUUAUUUGAGGGCUCACCAGGGUCUGCCAACCACUCUAGGCGAAGAACAUAG
rnacentral:rRNA from 1 species